rnacentral:rRNA from 1 species
GAUGAACGCUGGCGGCGUGCCUAAUACAUGCAAGUCGAGCGAACAGACGAGGAGCUUGCUCCUCUGACGUUAGCGGCGGACGGGUGAGUAACACGUGGAUAACCUACCUAUAAGACUGGGAUAACUUCGGGAAACCGGAGCUAAUACCGGAUAAUAUAUUGAACCGCAUGGUUCAAUAGUGAAAGACGGUUUUGCUGUCACUUAUAGAUGGAUCCUCGCCGCAUUAGCUAGUUGGUAAGGUAACGGCUUACCAAGGCAACGAUGCGUAGCCGACCUGAGAGGGUGAUCGGCCACACUGGAACUGAGACACGGUCCAGACUCCUACGGGAGGCAGCAGUAGGGAAUCUUGCGAGAUGGGCGAAAGCCUGACGGAGCAACGCCGCGUGAGUGAUGAAGGUCUUCGGAUCGUAAAACUCUGUUAUGGGGGAAGAACAAAUGUGUAAGUAACUAUGCACGUCUUGACGGUACCUAAUCAGAAAGCCACGGCUAACUACGUG